rnacentral:rRNA from 1 species
CCCGAGUAGCAGCGGGCCCGUGAAAUCUGCUGUGAAUCUGCCGGGACCACCCGGUAAGCCUGAAUACUCCCUGGUGACCGAUAGCGGACUAGUACCGUGAGGGAAAGGUGAAAAGUACCCCGGGAGGGGAGUGAAAUAGUACCUGAAACCGUGCGCUUACAAUCCGUCAAAGCCUUCGUACUUUCGAGUGUGUGGGGUGAUGGCGUGCCUUUUGAAGAAUGAGCCUGCGAGUCAUCGGUGUGUGGCGAGGUUAACCCGUGUGGGGUAGCCGUAGCGAAAGCGAGUCCGAAUAGGGCGUUCUUUAGUCGCACAUUAUGGACCCGAAGCGGAGUGAUCUACCCAUGGCCAGGGUGAAGCGACGGUAAGACGUCGUGGAGGCCCGAACCCACUUAGGUUGAAAACUGAGGGGAUGAGCUGUGGGUAGGGGUGAAAGGCCAAUCAAACUCCGUGAUAGCUGGUUCUCCCCGAAAUGCAUUUAGGUGCAGCGUCACGUGUUUCACGCCGGAGGUAGAGCUACUGGAUGGCCUAGGGGGCCUACAAGCUUACCGAAGUCAGCCAAACUCCGAAUGCCGGUGUGUGAGAGCGUGGCAGUGAGACUGCGGGGGAUAAGCUUCGUAGUCGAGAGGGAAACAGCCCAGAUCGCCGGCUAAGGCCCCUAAGCGUGUACUAAGUGGAAAAGGAUGUGGGGUCGCUUAGACAACCAGGAGGUUGGCUUAGAAGCAGCCACCCUUGAAAGAGUGCGUAAUAGCUCACUGGUCAAGUGAUCCUGCGCCGACAAUGUAGCGGGGCUCAAGUACACCGCCGAAGCCGCGGCAUUCA